rnacentral:rRNA from 1 species
AGGGUUUGAUCAUGGCUCAGGAUGAACGCUAGCGGCAGGCUUAACACAUGCAAGUCGAGGGGUAACAUAUUAGCUUGCUAAUGAUGACGACCGGCGAACGGGUGCGUAACGCGUAUAGAAUCUGCCUUGUACAGGAGGAUAACCUUUAGAAAUGAAGACUAACACUCCAUAAUGUUAUUGAUUGGCAUCGAUUAAUAAUUAAAUAUUUAUAGGUACAAGAUGACUAUGCGUCCUAUUAGCUAGAUGGUAAGGUAACGGCUUACCAUGGCAACGAUAGGUAGGGGGUCUGAGAGGAUUAUCCCCCACACUGGUACUGAGACACGGACCAGACUCCUACGGGAGGCAGCAGUGAGGAAUAUUGGACAAUGGAGGCAACUCUGAUCCAGCCAUGCCGCGUGCAGGAUGACUGCCCUAUGGGUUGUAAACUGCUUUUAUACAGGAAGAAACACUACCUCGUGAGGUAGCUUGACGGUACUGUAAGAAUAAGGACCGGCUAACUCCGUGCCAGCAGCCGCGGUAAUACGGAGGGUCCGAGCGUUAUCCGGAAUCAUUGGGUUUAAAGGGUCCGCAGGCGGUUAAUUAAGUCAGAGGUGAAAUCCCAUCGCUCAACGAUGGAACUGCCUUUGAUACUGGCUGACUUGAGUCAUAUGGAAGUAGAUAGAAUAAGUAGUGUAGCGGUGAAAUGCAUAGAUAUUACUUAGAAUACCGAUUGCGAAGGCAGUCUACUACGUAUGUACUGACGCUCAUGGACGAAAGCGUGGGGAGCGAACAGGAUUAGAUACCCUGGCAGUCCGCGCCGUAAACGAUGGAUACUAGUUGUUGGAAGUAAUUUCAGUGACUAAGCGAAAGUGAUAAGUAUCCCACCUGGGGAGUACGGUCGCAAGACUGAA